GAUGAACGCUGGCGGCGUGCCUAAUACAUGCAAGUCGAGCGAACGGACGAGAAGCUUGCUUCUCUGAUGUUAGCGGCGGACGGGUGAGUAACACGUGGAUAACCUACCUAUAAGACUGGGAUAACUUCGGGAAACCGGAGCUAAUACCGGAUAAUAUUUUGAACCGCAUGGUUCAAAAGUGAAAGACGUUCUUGCUGUCACUUAUAGAUGGAUCCGCGCUGCAUUAGCUAGUUGGUAAGGUAACGGCUUACCAAGGCAACGAUGCAUAGCCGACCUGAGAGGGUGAUCGGCCACACGGGAACUGAGACACGGUCCAGACUCCUACGGGAGGCAGCAGUAGAGAAUCUUCCGCAAUGGGCGAAAGCCUGACGGAGCAACGCCGCGUGAGUGAUGAAGGUCUUCGGAUCGUAAAACUCUGUUAUUAGGGAAGAACAUAUGUGUAAGUAACUGUGCACAUCUUGAGGGUACCUAAUCAGAAAGCCACGGCUAACUACGUG
rnacentral:rRNA from 1 species